rnacentral:rRNA from 1 species
UUGACGGGGACCCGCACAAGCGGUGAGUAUGUUGUUUAAUUCGACGCUACGCGAAGAACCUUACCGGGUUUGACAUGCAGGUGAUCGCCGUUGAAAGACGGUUUCCUCUUCGGAGGCACCUGCACAGGUGCUGCAUGGCUGUCGUCAGCUCGUGUCGUGAGAUGUUGGGUUAAGUCCCGCAACGAGCGCAACCCUUAUCCCCAGUUGCCAUCAGGUAAAGCUGGGAACUCUGGGGAGACUGCCGGUGAUAAACCGAGGAAGGCGGGGAUGACGUCAAGUCCUCAUGGCCCUUACAUCCCGGGCUACACACGUGCUACAAUGGCAGGUACAGAGGGCUGCGAAGCCGCGAGGUGGAGCGAAUCCCAGAAGACCUGUCUCAGUCCGGAUUGAAGUCUGCAACUCGACUUCAUGAAGGCGGAAUCGCUAGUAACCGCGAAUCAGCAGGUCGCGGUGAAUACGUUCCCGGGCCUU